rfam:Eutrema salsugineum unplaced genomic scaffold scaffold_12, whole genome shotgun sequence.
AAUCCAUGGUGAGGGCACUGAUUAGUGUAGCUCCUGAAUCUUUCCCAAGCUUCACCAAAUGUCUCAUUGUUAUGUUGGGUGAAGGAAGAGAUCUGUUUCCUGAGCUU